GACGAACGCUGGCGGCGUGCUUAACACAUGCCAGUCGAACGAAGAGCGAUGGAAGCUUGCUUCUCUCAAUCUUAGUGGCGAACGGGUGAGUAACGCGUAAUCAACCUGCCCUUCAGGGGGGGACAACAGUUGGAAACGACUGCUAAUACCGCAUACGAUCUAAUCUCGGCAUCGAGGAUAGAUGAAAGGUGGCCUCUACAUGUAAGCUAUCACUGAAGGAGGGGAUUGCGUCUGAUUAGCUAGUUGGAGGGGUAACGGCCCACCAAGGCGAUGAUCAGUAGCCGGUCUGAGAGGAUGAACGGCCACAUUGGGACUGAGACACGGCCCAGACUCCUACGGGAGGCAGCAGUGGGGAAUCUUCCGCAAUGGACGAAAGUCUGACGGAGCAACGCCGCGUGAGCGAUGACGGCCUUCGGGUUGUAAAGCUCUGUUAAUCGGGACGAAAGGCCUUCUUGCGAAUAGUGAGAAGGAUUGACGGUACCGGAAUAGAAAGCCACGGCUAACUACGUG
rnacentral:rRNA from 1 species